CCCCUAGACGUUCUGGGCUGCACGCGCGCUACAAUAAUACGCACAGCGAGUAUCACCGAGCUCGAAAGGGCAAGGUAAACAAUAGAAAAGGUACUGUAAUGGUUAUAGAUCCUUGUAAUUAUUGAUCUUCAACGAGGAAUUCCUAGUAAGUGUGUGUCAUCAUCACGCACUGAUUACGUCCCUGCCCUUUGUACACACCGCCCGUCGCUCCUACCGAUUGGGUGAGCCGAUGAAACUCUCGGAUGUAGGCUAUUCAUAGCCCGCAGAAGAGAUUUGAAUCGUAGCGCUUAGAGGAAGGAGAAGUCGUAACA
rnacentral:rRNA from 1 species